rnacentral:ncRNA from 1 species
AGAAAAGCUAUGAAGAAAAAUAGUACAUUAUAAUUUCUGUUCAGAGAGCUGAUGGUUGGUGCGAAUCAGUGAGAAAUUUUUUGGAAUCCAUUUCUGAGCUGUUCUGAGGAAAUCCAAGUAAUCAGAACCGUAAGCCUGCGUUAAAGGUGUCAAAGUGAACAGCUAUCAAUGAUAGCGGUUAAUUUGGGUGGCAACGCGGAGUUUAGACUUCGUCCCUUUU